CGGACGGGUGAGUAACGCGUGAGAAUCUGCCUUUAGGACGGGGACAACAGCUGGAAACGGCUGCUAAAACCCGAUGUGCCUUUCGGGGUGAAAUAUUUAUAGCCUGAAGAUGAGCUCGCGUCUGAUUAGCUAGUAGGUGAGGUAAAGGCUCACCUAGGCGACGAUCAGUAACUGGUCUGAGAGGAUGACCAGUCACACUGGGACUGAGACACGGCCCAG
rnacentral:rRNA from 1 species